UACAGAGGUCUCAAGCGUUGUUCGGAUUCAUUGGGCGUAAAGGGUGCGUAGGCGGCGCGGUAAGUCGGGUGUGAAAUCGUCGGGGCUUAACUCCGAAACUGCAUUCGAUACUGCCGUGCUUGAGGACUGGAGAGGAGACUGGAAUUUACGGUGUAGCGGUGAAAUGCGUAGAUAUCGUAAGGAAGACCAGUGGCGAAGGCGGGUCUCUGGACAGUUCCUGACGCUGAGGCACGAAGGUCAGGGGAGCAAACGGGG
rnacentral:rRNA from 1 species